GGUUAAGCGACUAAGCGUACACGGUGGAUGCCCUGGCAGUCAGAGGCGAUGAAGGACGUGCUAAUCUGCGAUAAGCGUCGGUGAGGUGAUAUGAACCGUUAUAACCGGCGAUUUCCGAAUGGGGAAACCCAGUGUGUUUCGACACACUAUCAUUAACUGAAUCCAUAGGUUAAUGAGGCGAACCGGGGGAACUGAAACAUCUAAGUACCCCGAGGAAAAGAAAUCAACCGAGAUUCCCCCAGUAGCGGCGAGCGAACGGGGAGGAGCCCAGAGCCUGAAUCAGUGUGUGUGUUAGUGGAAGCGUCUGGAAAGGCGCGCGAUACAGGGUGACAGCCCCGUACACAAAAAUGCACAUAUUGUGAGCUCGAUGAGUAGGGCGGGACACGUGGUAUCCUGUCUGAAUAUGGGGGGACCAUCCUCCAAGGCUAAAUACUCCUGACUGACCGAUAGUGAACCAGUACCGUGAGGGAAAGGCGAAAAGAACCCCGGCGAGGGGAGUGAAAAAGAACCUGAAACCGUGUACGUACAAGCAGUGGGAGCCUCUUAAUGGGGUGACUGCGUACCUUUUGUAUAAUGGGUCAGCGACUUAUAUUCUGUAGCAAGGUUAACCGAAUAGGGGAGCCGAAGGGAAACCGAGUCUUAACUGGGCGUUAAGUUGCAGGGUAUAGACCCGAAACCCGGUGAUCUAGCCAUGGGCAGGUUGAAGGUUGGGUAACACUAACUGGAGGACCGAACCGACUAAUGUUGAAAAAUUAGCGGAUGACUUGUGGCUGGGGGUGAAAGGCCAAUCAAACCGGGAGAUAGCUGGUUCUCCCCGAAAGCUAUUUAGGUAGCGCCUCGUGAAUUCAUCUCCGGGGGUAGAGCACUGUUUCGGCAAGGGGGUCAUCCCGACUUACCAACCCGAUGCAAACUGCGAAUACCGGAGAAUGUUAUCACGGGAGACACACGGCGGGUGCUAACGUCCGUCGUGAAGAGGGAAACAACCCAGACCGCCAGCUAAGGUCCCAAAGUCAUGGUUAAGUGGGAAACGAUGUGGGAAGGCCCAGACAGCCAGGAUGUUGGCUUAGAAGCAGCCAUCAUUUAAAGAAAGCGUAAUAGCUCACUGGUCGAGUCGGCCUGCGCGGAAGAUGUAACGGGGCUAAACCAUGCACCGAAGCUGCGGCAGCGACACUAUGUGUUGUUGGGUAGGGGAGCGUUCUGUAAGCCUGUGAAGGUGGCCUGUGAGGGUUGCUGGAGGUAUCAGAAGUGCGAAUGCUGACAUAAGUAACGAUAAAGCGGGUGAAAAGCCCGCUCGCCGGAAGACCAAGGGUUCCUGUCCAACGUUAAUCGGGGCAGGGUGAGUCGACCCCUAAGGCGAGGCCGAAAGGCGUAGUCGAUGGGAAACAGGUUAAUAUUCCUGUACUUGGUGUUACUGCGAAGGGGGGACGGAGAAGGCUAUGUUGGCCGGGUGACGGUUGUCCCGGUUUAAGCGUGUAGGCUGGUUUUCCAGGCAAAUCCGGAAAACCAAGGCUGAGGCGUGAUGACGAGGCACUACGGUGCUGAAGCGACAAAUGCCCUGCUUCCAGGAAAAGCCUCUAAGCAUCAGGUAACAUCAAAUCGUACCCCAAACCGACACAGGUGGUCAGGUAGAGAAUACCAAGGCGCUUGAGAGAACUCGGGUGAAGGAACUAGGCAAAAUGGUGCCGUAACUUCGGGAGAAGGCACGCUGAUAUGUAGGUGAAGCGACUUGCUCGUGGAGCUGAAAUCAGUCGAAGAUACCAGCUGGCUGCAACUGUUUAUUAAAAACACAGCACUGUGCAAACACGAAAGUGGACGUAUACGGUGUGACGCCUGCCCGGUGCCGGAAGGUUAAUUGAUGGGGUUAGCGGUAACGCGAAGCUCUUGAUCGAAGCCCCGGUAAACGGCGGCCGUAACUAUAACGGUCCUAAGGUAGCGAAAUUCCUUGUCGGGUAAGUUCCGACCUGCACGAAUGGCGUAAUGAUGGCCAGGCUGUCUCCACCCGAGACUCAGUGAAAUUGAACUCGCUGUGAAGAUGCAGUGUACCCGCGGCAAGACGGAAAGACCCCGUGAACCUUUACUAUAGCUUGACACUGAACAUUGAGCCUUGAUGUGUAGGAUAGGUGGGAGGCUUUGAAGUGUGGACGCCAGUCUGCAUGGAGCCGGCCUUGAAAUACCACCCUUUAAUGUUUGAUGUUCUAACGUGGGCCCCUUACCGGGGUUGCGGACAGUGUCUGGUGGGUAGUUUGACUGGGGCGGUCUCCUCCUAAAGAGUAACGGAGGAGCACGAAGGUUGGCUAAUCCUGGUCGGACAUCAGGAGGUUAGUGCAAUGGCAUAAGCCAGCUUGACUGCGAGCGUGACGGCGCGAGCAGGUGCGAAAGCAGGUCAUAGUGAUCCGGUGGUUCUGAAUGGAAGGGCCAUCGCUCAACGGAUAAAAGGUACUCCGGGGAUAACAGGCUGAUACCGCCCAAGAGUUCAUAUCGACGGCGGUGUUUGGCACCUCGAUGUCGGCUCAUCACAUCCUGGGGCUGAAGUAGGUCCCAAGGGUAUGGCUGUUCGCCAUUUAAAGUGGUACGCGAGCUGGGUUUAGAACGUCGUGAGACAGUUCGGUCCCUAUCUGCCGUGGGCGCUGGAGAACUGAGGGGGGCUGCUCCUAGUACGAGAGGACCGGAGUGGACGCAUCACUGGUGUUCGGGUUGUCAUGCCAAUGGCACUGCCCGGUAGCUAAAUGCGGAAGAGAUAAGUGCUGAAAGCAUCUAAGCACGAAACUUGCCCCGAGAUGAGUUCUCCCUGACCCUUUAAGGGUCCUGAAGGAACGUUGAAGACGACGACGUUGAUAGGCCGGGUGUGUAAGCGCAGCGAUGCGUUGAGCUAACCGGUACUAAUGAACCGUGAGGCUUAACCUU
rnacentral:rRNA from 2 species